UGCUCUUGUGGCGAAAUUGGUAAACGCGGUGGUCCGAGGAGCCAUAGUCAAUGACUUAUGGGUUCAAGUCCCAUCAAGAGCAG
rnacentral:tRNA from 1 species